CCUAUUAGUGGAUUCUUAGGAUUUACAAAUGAGUAUGUUAGAGCAGUAUCAUCGACCAAGAUGGUAUUUUCAGCUUUGGAAGAGAGUGAUUGGCCUCCUGCUCCUCAUUCAGCUACCAUCUGUCUAUUUUAAUACCAACAUCUAUGUAUUGUAGCAUGAUUUCUACCUCAUCACAGUCGGUUGCAGUGACAUAUCUUUUCUUUCUC
rnacentral:lncRNA from 1 species